rnacentral:rRNA from 1 species
CCUACGGGUGGCUGCAGUGGGGAAUAUUGGACAAUGGGGGGAACCCUGAUCCAGCCAUGCCGCGUGUGUGAAGAAGGCCCUCGGGUUGUAAAGCACUUUCAGUGAGGAAGAACGCCUGGUGGUUAAUACCCAUCAGGAAAGACAUCACUCACAGAAGAAGCACCGGCUAACUCCGUGCCAGCAGCCGCGGUAAUACGGAGGGUGCGAGCGUUAAUCGGAAUUACUGGGCGUAAAGCGCGCGUAGGUGGCUUGAUAAGCCGGUUGUGAAAGCCCCGGGCUCAACCUGGGAACGGCAUCCGGAACUGUCAAGCUAGAGUGCAGGAGAGGAAGGUAGAAUUCCCGGUGUAGCGGUGAAAUGCGUAGAGAUCGGGAGGAAUACCAGUGGCGAAGGCGGCCUUCUGGACUGACACUGACACUGAGGUGCGAAAGCGUGGGUAGCAAACAGGAUUAGGUACCCUGGUAGUC